UUGAGUCGAGCCAUUGGUUUCAAGGAUGAAUAAACUGUAACAGUUGCAGAUCUGCUCCAUGAAGAAUUAACUUUUUGAGCGAUGCAUGGCCCCUGCGCAAGGAUGACAUGGACAAAUCGAGAAAUGGUUCAAUUUUUU
rnacentral:snRNA from 1 species